UACGCUCAUAUCACGUUGAAACACCGAUCCCAGUAGGAUCACCGAAGUUAAGCAACGUCAAGCCUCGUCAGUAUCUAGAUGGGUGACUGCUUGGGAAUACCAAGCACUGUA